AACGUAGGAGCCAAGCGUUAUCCGAAUUCACUAGGCGUAAAGCGCGUGCAGGCGGCUGGGUAAGUUGGAUGUGAAAUCUCCUGGCUCAACUGGGAGAGGCCGUUCAAUACUACCUGGCUUGAGGGCGACAGAGGGAGGUGGAAUUCCGGGUGUAGUGGUGAAAUGCGUAGAUAUCCGGAGGAACACCAGAGGCGAAGGCGACCUCCUGGGUCGUACCUGACGCUGAGAUGCGAAAGCUAGGGGAGCAAACGGG
rnacentral:rRNA from 1 species